GUUCAGUUCUAGGGCCUCCAAAUUUGGUUAAAUUUGAGUAAUGGCGCAGAACGGAAGUAAGAUAGAGAAAUCACCAACAUGAUUUACCCUGAUUUCACUAGAAUCCACCAGAAGUUUACAAACAAGUUGUAAAGAGUAAAGUUUUAUCAAAUUUGUAUAUGUCCCCUUGGGUAUACCCACAUGCUGGGUAUAUAUAACACUCAAUAAAAUAACAAAAUAUAACUUGAUUAAUAAAUGAAACGCGCCCGCCGAAGCCAAGUCUUAUAAAGUUCCGAUAGCCGAAGACAUGAUGCCUUUUCUGAAGCCGAGGCCAUAUGUCGAAGCCUUCUAUUCGGGAAAACUCUUUUUACGUUCGUCUUUUCGGUUCAGCUUUCUUUCCACGUCUUCGGUCCAGUUCUUCCUCAAACUCUAGGGUCAGUUGUCCUACAUCAAGUAACGUUAAAAAUACAUACAUAUAUGUAAUAUAUACAUAAUGAACACAUCCAUUACUAUAUUAAUUCGUCGGAUUUAGGACUGAUCAUUCGGUUAUAACCGAACCGAAUAGGCUAUUCAGUUAUAACCGAAUGCCGAAAUAUUCCUAUUUUCAAUAUCCGAACUAAUAAUCGAAUUUUGGUAAUAACCGAAUAACCGAAUUACCGAAUUGUAAAUUCGGUAUUUCGGGUAAUAAUCGAACACUGCUAUCAAAAUUCAAAAAUAACACUCAAAAAUGAGAGAGAAGACCCAAGCAGGCAGACAGCUCUAUGUUUCUCCCCACUCAUCCUUCUUUUCCUCUAUAAUUCCCAAAAUCUAUCCUCUCCCCUAAAAAUUCUCUCUAUUUCACCAAACCAGUAUAACCAAUUGUAAGAGUAAAAGAACAAGAACCAAAAGAAGAAGAAGAAGUAGGCAUAGUGGGUGAGUUUAGCACCGUGGGUCCGUGGCUGGUGCUGCAGUGGUAGCUGCCCUAACGAUUAUAAUAACAGUGGUGAAUGGGAAUUCAGAAGGAGAUGCACUCUACGCGCUGCGACGGAGCUUAACUGAUCCAGAUAACGUACUAGUCAAGAGUUUAACCCUUGCACAUGGUUCCAUGUCACGUGACUCACGUCUAUGGCUCUGUCCCUCUUAUUGGCUAUUGGGAAUCCUCCAAAACUGUAUGAACUCUUCAAACACUUCUCCCCAUUUUUAAUUCACUACUCAGUCUAAUCACUUCAUUUCGGUUAUUCGGUUUAAUCGAAUAACAAAAAACCAAAACCAAUCCUGAACCCGAAAAGCGGAUAAUAAAACGGUUAUAACCGAAUUACAGAAAAUAACCGAAAUAAUUCGGUUAAAAAAUUUCGAUUAUAUUCGGUUAUUCGAUUUUACCCGUUUUUUGCUCAGUCCUAGCUGGAUUUGAUCCUACAUGAUUCGACGCUUAUUUAGGAUUUACAUAUAUGUUGUUUGGAUAAUGAUUAGAUCAAAUCAAUUAUGAUUAUGAAUCAGCACAUGCACAGGAGCAUGCGCGCACACAUAUAUAUACAUAUUCUCUAUGAAUUACAACUUAAUUUAAUUAAUAUAAAUUACAUU
rnacentral:lncRNA from 1 species